rnacentral:rRNA from 1 species
UACAGAGGUGGCAAGCGUUGUUCGGAAUUACUGGGCGUAAAGGGCGCGUAGGCGGCCCGUCAAGUCCCGUGUGAAAGCCCCCGGCUCAACCGGGGAACGGCGCGGGAAACUAGCAGGCUUGAGUUCGGGAGAGGGAAGCGGAAUUCCAGGUGUAGCGGUGAAAUGCGUAGAUAUCUGGAGGAACACCGGUGGCGAAGGCGGCAUCCUGGACCAACACUGACGCUGAGUGAGCGAAAGCCAGGGGAGCAAACGGG